GCGCUCGCCUCUGUUCCCAGCAACUCUGGAGGCUGAGGCAGGAGGAUUGCAGGUUCGAGGCCAGCCUCAACAACUCAGCAAGAACUACUAAAGACAAACCAGAACAAACUGCAAAUACCUCUACGCUGUGCUCACUGUUGCUAGCAAAGUUCUCCUGGCAGGAAUUGCCUCCCUUGAUACUUCUCCCAAAUAAGCAUAAUCCCAGAGCGUCACUGGACCAAGGUUCAUACCUCCCUUGGGAGAAUUGGCUGUAAUCUGAUUUUGGCUUCAGGGUUUUCUUAUUUCAGUGCCCUGCAAACCCCUAACCAUUAAGACAACAAUUGUUUUAAAAAAAAAAAAAAAAUCCCGUGUAGUCGAUGGUAUUCUUAGCAGAGCUGCACUCUGAUGUCUUGUAAUUUUCCUGGUUCUCUGCUGCCUCCCUGGCCCCAAAAUAAAUCGUAAUUGCCCAUCAGAUCAACUGGCGUCAAGUCACCCAAAGUUCAGGGGCUGCCAAGUGCAUAUUUGUGGGCCGAGCCAUCUGUGGGCCACGGGGCUCGGCUCUGCCCAGGGCAGGGCUCUGCUG
rnacentral:lncRNA from 1 species